AAAAACCUUCAAUUUUAAUUAGACAAAACGGUUGAAGUGCCAUGAAAUAAUCCUUCUGUAGAUUGUGAAAAUGUGUUGCUCUCAUUGUUAAUAGAAAGCUGACUGCCCGAUGGCUGGACAGUAUUUUUGGGGCAGAGAGAAUGCUGGCGAGAAAAAAAGCAGAGUUUGAGGAGUCAUGAGGAGAUGCCAUGAGACACAGAUCAGGCCGGAUGGGAAGUAUGUAAACGAGAUGUCUGAGGGAGGUAAUGCAGACCCAGAAAUACAAAAAUGAUUGGAGACAAGCAUAAUCAUCAAAAAGAGAAUUCAUCCAGCAACUAAUGGGAAUAGAUACAAAGACCCACAGUAAAAUAUUAGUCGAAGCUCAAGAAAUCCUUCAGAAGACAGGGAGAAAAGAUUGCAGGAGCCAGUGGGGUCACGGACACCACAAGAAAACCCAAAGAAUCAACUAACUUGGCUACUCAAGGUUCACAGAGACUGAACUGACAACCAGAGAACUCGCAUGGGACUGAUCUAGACCCUCUGCAAUAUGUUACAGUUGUGUAGUUUAGUCUUCUUGUGGGACUCCUAACAGUGGUAGCAGGGGCUUUCUCUGAUUAUUUUGCCUGCUUUGAGGACCCUUUUCCUCCUACGGUGUUGCCUUACCCAGCCUUAACACAAGGGGAUGUGCCUGGUCUUAUUGCAACAUAAUAUGCCAUAUUUGGUUGAUA